rnacentral:rRNA from 1 species
UGGGGAAUUUUGGACAAUGGGCGAAAGCCUGAUCCAGCAAUGCCGCGUGUGUGAAGAAGGCCUUCGGGUUGUAAAGCACUUUUGUCCGGAAAGAAAUGGCUCUGGUUAAUACCUGGGGUCGAUGACGGUACCUGAAGAAUAAGGACCGGCUAACUACGUGCCAGCAGCCGCGGUAAUACGUAGGGUCCCAGCGUUAAUCGGAAUUACUGGGCGUAAAGCGUGCGCAGGCGGUUGUGCAAGACCGAUGUGAAAUCCCCGAGCUUAACUUGGGAAUUGCAUUGGUGACUGCACGGCUAGAGUGUGUCAGAGGGGGGUAGAAUUCCACGUGUAGCAGUGAAAUGCGUAGAGAUGUGGAGGAAUACCGAUGGCGAAGGCAGCCCCCGGGGAUAACACUGACGCUCAUGCACGAAAGCGUGGGGAGCAAACAGG